rnacentral:rRNA from 1 species
GUGUUUUCAAUUUUCUAACGGGGAGACGGGGCCUGCGAGGGCUUCGCACCUCCCGCGGGAGAGCUGUCCCCUCGCGGGACGUCUCCCCCGAGAACAACGAACCCCGGCGCAAUCCGCGUCCAAGGAAACUGUACAAGCGACCCCGCCGUGCCCGCACCGGAGACGGCGAGCGGACAUGGCAUGCGUCGUCAUGUGAUCACAAUCACAACGACUCUCGGCAACGGAUAUCUCGGCUCUCGCAUCGAUGAAGAACGUAGCGAAAUGCGAUACUUGGUGUGAAUUGCAGAAUCCCGUGAACCAUCGAGUCUUUGAACGCAAGUUGCGCCCGAAGCCUUCUGGCCGAGGGCACGCCUGCCUGGGCGUCACGCAAUGUCGCCCCCCCAAGCCUCAUGCCCUCGUCGGCAGAGCUUCGGGGAGCGGACAUUGGUCUCCCGUGCGACCCUGCGCGCGGUUGGCCUAAAGGCGAGUCCCCGGCGUCCGUUGAUGCGACACACGGUGGUUGAGAUGCUCGGCAUGCCGUCGCCUCAUCGGUGCGUCUCUAGAUGGCUCAGCGACCCCAACUUACCGACGCGACCCCAGGUCAGCGGGAUUA